AAAUUCUGUAAAUUAAAUUAUCAAUAUGACAAAGGGUCCUGUGCUUCAUUUUGUCUCUUGGAUAAAUAAGGGAGUUUAUAAAUAAGGGAGUUUAUAAAGUUCGUUGAAGUAAUUUUUGUUGACAUCAAAUAUGAUUUGCAGUUUAUUACAUAAGUCAGUCGUAAGUUUGUUGCAAGGGUAAUCAGCUUAAUUUGGUUAUGAUGAAGAUGAGAAACUUAUAAGUAGAAAUAGGUGAAUAUUAUUUUGAUAUAUACAGUACUUUAUACUCAAUUGAAGAAGCUUUCACUAGCAGAGUGUAGUUUUACAAAAAUGUAGGUAUAUCAGAUGUGAAAGCCAGUUGUUACCCUUAUAUUUAUUUAUUUAUUUUUUUGGAAAUCUAGGCAAAUCUUCCGAAGAACCAGUUAUGAAUAGUUACUCUUCGUAAGGAGUGUUGAGGCUAGAUGGUGUGCUUCUAUAUUGAUCUGUUCUGCCAGAAUGACUACACAGAGUUCGAGCAUUGUUACGAAAGAGUGGCUUGGCCAGGAGUUGAGGGCUUUGAAAGGAGUUGAUUUGUCCAUGGGGCUGGUCACGAUUGCUGGAGGGACACAAGUUGUCCAUGUAUUGGCAGAUCCUGCAAGUUGCUGAAAAUCGUCGAUGCUUGUAGUACUGAGGAAGACUUGUGGUGCUGCGAGAGUAUCGUUGACAGUGAAGCACAACUUGAGUUUAAAGUUCCUUCUUUAUCUUAAUUGCUUUUACUGGAUUAUACAUGAUUAGUUACUUGAUAUAAGAGUUGAUUAUUAGGAUUUGCUUUUGUUUUUUAAUAGGAAUGUAGCACAGACUUAUAAUAUAGUAAUUGCUUUGUUGGAUUUAUUUGGGAGUUUUUAAAAUUCCGGUGGAAUAUAACUUGUAUUAUUAUUAUUGCAAGCAGCUGUAAGGAUGUCGUGGGUGACACAGCAAAGAGAAGAGGAUGUUGGAUCGGAAGUCAUUCACAUAAAGAUGUGAAAGGGAGAAAUAGUGUGAUUACCUCCGAAGCCUUCUUGGUUGGUCAUUUUUGAAAGUCGUAUAGGUUACUUAAUAGUUAAGGUGCACGGCUGCUUGGAAUCUCGUCUGCUAGUUUGUGAGACAAGUAAAAUCCCCUCUCUGUAUCAUUCGAAGGAAGGCGGCUAGUUCAUUUGAAAGUGUACUUCUGGCCAGGUAUGGAUGGUGGUGGUCUGCAGAAGGGAAGUGUCCUUUUGAGAAGUCCAGUGCGAGUGGUGAAGGCCCUGUUGGUAAUUGUUCAGGCAGCAGUCCCUUGGCGGAGUCUUGUGGUCAAGUCUGCCGGCAGGCUUAACAACAUGGAAUCAGUUGGUUAUCCUUCAGAGGGGGCAGGCAGUAUGCAGUCAUGAUGAAGACUGGUUGUGUGGUCCAGUGAAAGAAGCUCGUGGUCUGCAGUCCUGUAUGAGUUUGGCAGUCUGUGGUCCUUUGGGAGUGGCCGGCUGUAGAAGUUCUGUGGAAGUCACUGGUGCUCGAGGGUUUGCGUUUCAUAGUCCCGUGGGAGAGGUUGGCAUUCGACGGCCCCGUGGGAGAGGUUGGCAUUCGACGGCCCCGUGGGAGAGGUUGGCAUUCGACGGCCCCGUGGGAGAGGUUGGCAAUCGACGGUCCCGUGGGAGAGGUUUGGCAAUCGACGGUCCCAUGGGAGAGUUUGGCAAUCGACGGUCACCAUGGGAGAAGUUGGCAAUCGACGGUCCCGUGGGAGAAGUUAACAAUCAAUCGUCGUGUGGGAGAGGGCAUUAGACGGUCCCUUGGGAAAGGUUGGCAUUCGACGGUCCCGUGGGAGAGGUUGGCAUUCGACGAUCCCAUGGGAGAGGUUGGCAUUCGACGAUCGCGUGGUAAAGGUUGGCAUUCGAUGGUCCCGUGGGAGAGGUUACCAAUCAACGGUCCCUGGGGAGAGGUUGGCAAUCGACGGUCCCGUGGGAGAGGUUGGCAAUCGACGGUCCCGUGGGAGAGGUUGACAUUUGACAAUCCCGUGGGAGAGUUUAACAAUCAACGGUCGUGUGGGAGAGAGCAUUAGAAGGUCCCUUGGGAAAGGUUGGCAUUCGACGGUCCCGUACAAGAGGCUGGUAGUCAGCGGUCCUGUGGGAGUGGUUGGCAUUCAACGAUCCCGUGGGAGAGGUUGGCAUUCGACGAUCCCGUGGGAGAGGUUGGCAGUCAGCAGUCCUGUGGGAAUGGUGGGCAUUCAGCGGUCCCGUGGAAAGGUUGGCAGUCGGCGGUCCCGUGGGAGUGUUGGGCAUUCAGCGGUCCCGUGGGAGAGGUUAACAAUCAACGGUCGUGUGGGAGAGAGCAUUCGACGGUCCCAUAGAAGAGGCUAGUAGUCAGCGGUCCCGUGGGAGAGGUUGGCAUUCAACGAUCGCGUGGGAGAGGUUGGCAUUCGACGAUCCCAUGGGAGAGGUUGGCAGUCAGCAGUCCUGUGGGAGAGGUGGGCAUUCAGCGGUCCCGUGAGAGAGGUUGGCAGUCGGCGGUCCCGUGGGAGAGGUUGGCAUUAGACGGUCCCUUCUGAGAGGUUGGCAUCUGACGGUCCUGUGGGAGAGGUUGGCGUUCAACGUUCCCUCGGAAGAGGUUGCCUUCCGACGAUCUAUUGGGAUUCAAAAGUCCUGUGGGAGAGGUUGGCAGUCGGCGGUCCUGUGGGAGAGGUUGGCGUUCGACGUUCCCUUGGAAGAGAUUGGCAUUCGACAGUCCCGUGGGAGAGGUUGGCAAUCGACGGUCCCGUGGGAGAGGUUGGCAAUCGACGGUCCCGUGGGAGAGGUUGGCAAUCGACGGUCCCGUGGGAGAGGUUGGCAAUCGAUGGUCCCGUGGGAGAGUUUAACAAUCAACGGUCGUGUGGGACAGAGCAUUAACAGUCCCUUGGGAAAGGUUGGCAUUCGACGGUCCCGUAGAAGAGGCUGGUAGUCAGCGGUCCCGUGGGAGAGGUUGGCAUUUGACGAUCCCGUGGGAGAGGUUGGCAUUUGAUGAUCCCUUGGGAGAGGUUGGCAGUCAGCAGUCCUGUGGGAGUGGUGGGCAUUCAGCGGUCCCGUGGGAGAGGUUGGCAGUCGGCGGUCCCAUGGGAGAGGUUGGAAUUCGACGGUCCCGUGUGAGUGUUGGGCAUUCAGCGGUCCCGUGGGAGAGGUUGGCAGUCGGCGGUCCCGUGGGAGAGGUUGGCAUUCGACGGUCCCGUGGGAGAGGUUAACAAUCAACGGUCGUGUGGGAGAGAGCAUUAGACGAUCCCGUGGGAGAGGCUGGCAUUCGACGGUCCCAUAGAAGAGGCUAGUAGUCAGCGGUCCCGUGGGAGAGGUUGGCAAUCGACGGUUCCGUGGGAGAGGUUGGCAAUCGACGGUCCCGUGGGAGAGGUUGGCAAUCGACGGUCCCGUGGGAGAGGUUGGCAAUCGACGGUCCCGUGGGAGAGGUUGGCAUUUGACGGUCCCGUGGGAGAGGUUAACAAUCAACGGUCGUGUGGGAGAGAGCAUUAGACGAUCCCGUGGGAGAGGCUGGCAUUCGACGGUCCCAUAGAAGAGGCUAGUAGUCAGCGGUCCCGUGGGAGAGGUUGGCAUUCGACGAUCCCGUGGGAGAGGUUGGCAUUCGACGAUCCCGUGGGAGAGGUUGGCAUUCGACGAUCCCGUGGGAGAGGUUGGCAUUCGACGUUCCCUUGGAAGAGGUUCCAUCCGACGAUCUAUUGAGAUGUUGGGAUUCGACAAUCCUAUGGGAGAGGUUGGCAGUCUGCGGUCCUGUGGGAGAGGUUGGCGUUCAACGUUCCCUUGGAAGAGGUUGGCGUUCGACGUUCCCUUGGAAGAGGUUGUCAUCCGACGAUCUAUUAAGAGAGGUUGGGAUUCGACAGUCCUGUGGGAGAGGUUGGCAGUCUGCGGUCCUGUGGGAGAGGUUGGCGUUCGACGUUCCCUUGGAAGAGGUUGGCAUUCGACGAUCCCGUGGAAGAGGUUGGCAUUCGACAAUCCCGUGGGAGAGGUUGGCAAUCGACGGUCCCGUGGGAGAGGUUGGCAAUCGACUGUCCAUGGGAGAGGUUGGCAUUCGACGGUCCCGUGGGAGAGGUUAACAAUCAACGGUCGUGUGGGAGAGAGCAUUAGAUGGUCCUUUGGGAAAGGUUGGCAUUCUACGGUCCCGUGGGAGAGGUUGGCGUUCGACGUUCCCUUGAGAGAGGUUGGGAUUAGACAGUCCUGUGGGAGAGGUUGGCAGUCGGCGGUCCUGUGGAAGAGGUUGGCAGUCGGCGGUCUCGUGGGAGAGGUUAGCAUUCGAUGAUUCCGUGGGAGAGGUUGGCAUUCGACAGUCCCAUGGAGAGGUUGGCGUUCGACGUUCCCUUGGAAGAGGUUGGCGUUCGACGUUCCCUUGGAAGAGGUUGGCAUUCAACAGUCCUGUGGGAGAGGUUGGCGUUCGACGUCCCCUUGGAAGAGGUUGGCAUUCAACGUUCCCUUGGAAGAGGUUGGCAUUCGACGUUCCCUUGGAAGAGGUUGGCAUUCGACAGUCCCGUGGGAGAGAUUGGCAGUCGGCGUUCCCGUGGGAGAGUUUGGUAGUUGGUGGUCAGUUGGCCCCGUAAAAGAAGCUGGUGGUCAGCCUACCUGCGGGAGAGGCUUGGGGAUGGCAUACUUAUGGAAGAAGUUUUGGGUCCUUAUACCUGUGGGAGAGGCUGGGGUCAUCUGUUCCUGAUGGAGAGGCUGGCAGUCGGCUGUUCCCGUUGAAAAGGCUGGCGGUUGGCUGUUCCCGUUGAAAAGGCUGGCGGUCGGCUGUUCCCGUUGAAGAGGCUGGCGGUCGGCCGUUCCCGUUGAAGAGGCUUGCUGGCAGUCAGCUGUUUCCCGUUGGAGAGACUGGUGGUCUUCUGUUCCCAUUGAAGAGGCUGGCGGUCGGCUGUUUCCGUUGGAGAGGUUGGCGGUCGGCUGGAACGUUCCCGUUGAAGAGGCUGGCGGUCGGCUGUUCCCGUUGAAGAGGCUGGCGGUCGGCUGUUCCCGUUGAAGAGGCUGGCGGUCGGCUGUUCCCGUUGAAGAGGCUGGUGGUCGGCUGUUCCUGUUGAAGAGGCUGGCUGGCGGUCAGCUGUUUCCCGUUGGAGAGACGGGUGGUCUUCUGUUCCUGUUGAAGAGGCUGGAGGUCUUCUGUUCCCGUUGAAGAGGCUGGCGGUUGGCAGUCCCUUUGGAGAGCGAGCCUGGCAAUCGGUGGUCACAUGGGAGAGUCUGGCAGACGGCAGUCCCGUGGGAGGUGGCAACAGUUGAUGGUUCUCAAGGAAGAAGGUGGCAGCUGGGAGUUCUCGUAGGAUAGGCGGGCGGUCAGCAUACCCUUGGGAGAGGCUGUGGAUUGGCAUAUACCCUUGGGAGAGGCUGUGGAUUGACAAAUACCCUUAGGAGAGGCUGUGGAUUGGCAUAUACCCUUAGGAGAGGCUGUGGAUUGGCAUAUACCCUUGGGAGAGGCUGUGGAUCGGCAUAUACCCUUGGGAGAGGCUGUGGAUUGGCAUACCCGUGGGAGAGGCUGUGGAUCAGCGUACCCUUGGUAGAGGCUGGGGAUCAGCAUACACUUGGGAGAGGCUGUGAAUCUGCAUACCCUUGGGAGAGGCUGUGAAUCUGCAUACCCUUGGGAGAGGCUGUGAAUCUGCAUACCCUUGGGAGAGGCUGUGGAUUGGCGUACCCUUGGGAGAGGCUGGGGAUCAGCAUACCCUUGGGAGAGGCUGUGAAUCUGCAUACCCUUGGGAGAGGCUGUGGAUCAGCGUACCCUUGGAUAGGCUGCCGGUCAGUGAUUGUUGUGGGAAAGGCUGCUGGUCAGUAGUUCCCAUGGGAGAGAGCCUGGCAGUCUGAGUCAUGUAAGAGGGCCUGGUGGUUGGCGGAAGGCGGGCAAAUGGCGGAUACUGUGGAAGGGAAGACGCUGGCAGUCGACAGUUCCUGUAAGAGAGGCUGGCAGUUGGCAGUUGCUGUAAGAGGCUGGCAGUCAGCAGUUUCUGUAAGAGGCUGGCAGUCAGCCGAUACUGUGGAAGGGAAGACGCUGGUGGUUGACAGUUCCUGUAGGAGAGACUGGCAGUCAGCAGUUCCUGUAGGAGAGGCUGGCAGUCGGCGGAUACUGUGAAGGGAAGACGCUGGUGGUCGACAGUUCCUGGAGGAGAGGCUAGCAGUCAGCAGUUCCUGUAGGAGAGGCUGGCAGUCAGCCGAUACUGUGGAAGGGAAGCGCUGGUGGUCGACAGUUCCUGUAGGAGAGGCUGGCAGUUGGCAGUUCCUGUAGGAGAGGCUGGCAGUCAGCAGUUCCUGUAGGAGAGGCUGGCAGUCAGCAGAUACUGUGGAAGGGAAGACGCUGGUGGUUGGCAGUUCCUGUAGGAGAGGCUGGCAGUCAGCAGAUACUGUGGAAGGGAAGACGCUGGUGGUUGGCAGUUCCUGUAGGAGAGACUGGCAGUCGGCAGUUACUGUGGAAGAAACUGUCUGUCAUGUGAUUCCCAUUGGGGGAGGCUGGCGGUUGGCUCUUCCAUGGGGAAGGCUUGCGAUCAGAAAAUGCCUCUUCAAGAAGUUGGUCCCAUAUGAGAGUAACGUUAAGGGUCUUGUGGGUGAGAUUGGCAUUCAGCGGUCCUAUGGGAGAGGCUGGCCUUUGGCGAUCCUGGGGAGAGGUGGGCGGGCAACAAACAUGUGGGACAUUAAUUUGGGGGAGGCUAGUGGUUAGGGUUCCGUGGGAGAGGUUGGAGUUGGGCAGUCCCGUGGGAGAGGUUGGCAGUCGACGUUCCUGUGGGAGAAACCUCGUUAUGCGUUGCAGUCCUAUGGAAGAGGCUGUUUUCAACCGUAAUCCUCGGGAACCUGUUGCUUGUUCUGGAGAGCCAUGCAGUUGGUUUUUGUGAAGACCUUCUACUGUCGCUGAAAAGAGAAGUGCGUUGUGAUGUCUACUGGUCCUGCAGCAACAGCUUUGUGGAUGGUGAUCCAAUGGACAAGUCUUGUGUCUCUGGUUAGUAUCAUGGAAGGAAUUAUCUGGUGGAAGUCGAGUGGAAGAGAAUCAGUUAGCGUGUGCAUGUGGUCGUCCUGUUGAAGAAGUAUUGUGUUAAUUUAUGCACAUAUCAUUGUGUGGAAGAAGUGUGGUUGUGGUACUUUAUUUUUUUUUUAUAGUUAUAUCCACAUGUGGACUGAAUGUGUUAUAUGAGAAAGCUUUUGCAUGAGCCAGUCUCCCAUGUGAUGUGGUAACUGUAUUAAAAUUGUUGUAGUUGAUAAAGUUUUGUAAAGUUAAUUAGUAAAGUUGUAACUUAUUGGUAAAAAUGUAAAUGAUAACCCCAGCAGUUAACAUAUUGCUGUUAGUUUCUAGUGUUGUAUAGUUGUACAUGAAGUGAUCAAGCUGAAAUUUGUGUAAUACAGUUUUAUUUAUUCAAUUGUUUUGUAGUAAAAAGACAAAUUUGUUGUAUUUUCAGGCGAAUGAGAUCUUCAGAGUUCUGGAGAUAAGAGUUUAAUAAAAAAUAAAUCAAU